CCCGCCGUUCUUCUUCCUCCACCAGCGACCCCUGUCCAGAUCGACACCCUUGUCCUGCCCCGACUCCAGGCCACUGCAGGUAAACUGCAUAGGAGUUUUGUCAUUUGCAUCUCGGUGGAUGUUAGUUCCCAUAAGUUCCAGGCUCUGCUCUUGUUCUGUCUUCUUUAAUCUCGUCUCCACAUGCAUCUUGUCUUUUCAUUUAUCCAGUGGUGGCCAUGCUCAUGUGUGAAUGUUUAUCAGUAACUUCUAUACAUAUUAAUUUUCAGAGACCAGAUUUUAACUACUCGAGGGUACAGACGUACAGAUUUAGAAAGAGAAAUGUAACAGAGUUGUGGCACACCUUUUGGGUUAACAUUGCUGUUUGAGGAUGCUCAAGUGCAGAGCUCCCUAAAUUUCAGAGAUCUGAUUCACCAUAUUCUGCAAUUUGACACAGAGCCUCAGUUACUGUCGACAGAAAAAGGAUGACGUGCAAGCAUGUGUUACUUUCUAGAGAGAGAAAAAACAUGUUUCACUUCAUUUUCUACAUAUGAACUAGCACCAAAGAUUCAGAUUUCUUGUAUGUUGGGUUGGAUUGUAAAUCUGCCUGUGAUCCUUUUGUUUUAUCUAUUUAUGCCGCAUAAACAGGGACCAAGGGUUAGCCUUACGGUUGUGUGUGAUCCAUAUUAGUGCCUUCGAUGUAUCUCAUGUCCCUGAAUUUUCUUUCUUGUACUAGAUAUCCUCUUGUUCUUUCACUCCUAAAUCCUAAUCAUUAGACUUCUCAUUAUCUAGGUGCUCAUUAUUUCUACUUGUUUGUUGUCUCAUGGAUCACAAGUUUAAUGAUUAUUGAAUCAAGAAAUCUACUGAAUCUGUUAACAUAACCUCCAUUUACUGUCUUGCUCAAGUCUGUUUGUGGCAUGUCAUAUUUUAACUUAUGUUUUAGUCUGCUCAAAUGGAGAGCUCCGUAAACUUCAGAAAUCAAAAUGACAAAAUUGUAGGGAUAAAAGGGGUAAUGGAAAAUUGCAUUUCUCUAGUCUCAGUUUAUUCUUCCUUGGCACCCUACUAUUUACGUUUUGUCUAUUUGGUAUGUAUAUUUGUAGUGGAUGCCCAAUUCUCCUAUCUAUAUUUUCAUAACUAUGUUUCUUAAUUAUACUACUUACACGAAGUUGCUUGGUGGAUAGUGCAGUUUUAACUUGCUGCUUCUUGAUAAAAGUUGCUGCCAUGUAUUUAACUCAUCACAUAAUUUGCCCAGUAUGCAUAUUUUUCCACUAUUUUUUAUUAAGCAUCAUGGUCUAAUAUGUGCUAUUUGCAGGAGAAAAGAUGGAAGGAACAAGAGGUGGAAGUGAGCUCCCUGCAUACGAACAAUCAAGAGUUAGGCUCGUAGCAGACAUGAAUUGGUAAACUCGAGCACCUCUCUUUGAAAGUGAUGCAUCCGAUUAGUUAGUUUUCUAAUUACUAGGGAAAAUAAAUUUGUUGCAGGCUGAAGAACUUGGCUAUGACCCACAGAGAGAUGAAAUAUUUGUCAGAGCACAUACACAUAAAAUUGGAGUUCCUACCGCACAAGCAGACACUAAUUGUUAGUCACACAUACACAUCAUGUGUUUUUCUUUAGUACAGCCAUGCACGUGACUGCAUAUCAAUUGAUGAGAAGUAUAGACUGCACUGACUUAAUUGUAGAACUAAAUUAGGUACCUCAUUUGCUGUAUUUUUUCAGAACAACCUGAAGAAGCAGCUGAACCGCCAACAACACUUGCAAUGGAAAUUCAAUUUUGUCGACAAGAUGAACAUGUUUCUACUCUACUAGAGCUCACGGAACAAAUGCAACGAAAAAUUGGAGAGAUGCAUCAAGUUCUCUUUUCUCAAGGAAUCAGAAAUGUCGAAAUACCAGGUAUUAUUCUUGUCAACUUUUUUCCAUGAGAUGACACUGCUAUGUUUUGAUUGAUGCUUGGGUCAGGAAGACAGGUUCAGAAUUGGGAAAAGGGUCCACUGUUUGAACUAAACACUAUUAUUUUUCUUUUGGGAGAUCUUUGUAUUUUUCUUGAAGGUUUCAUGCUUCAUAACUAAACACAUACAGUUCAGUUUGUAGUGUCACUAUAAAUAGACAAUGCAUCAGGCUACUAGAUAUCUAGUUUCUAUCGGAAAUAGAUAAGAAUUGAUGGCAUGAUAAGGUGAUACUAAAUCUGGGUUAUAGCAGAACAUAGAAUUUUCGGUUUCUAUGUUUAUAUGUGUGCAGUGCAACCCCCAUUAUCAUGCAAACAGUAUCAAGUUAUGAGGCUUGAUCAUGGAAGCUAGCAGAAAUGUGUGAUUUAGUACACAAGCUCUGAAUGUUUGCUUGCAUAUUUGUUCAAAUAUGGUGAGUGGUUUAGUUCUCCGUUAGUGUGCAAUUCCUAGUAGCUAAACUGAAGCCUGCUGUCUUUUAAAGAUCAGACACAAAAAAAUACUUGACCAUUAUUUUCAGGGAAGCAUAUUUAGUUCAAUCCACAUAUUAGGAUUACACCUGACUCCUUUUUUGCAACAUAGAUUCAUGAAUACAUUCCUGACCUCGCACAUCAAAUCACCGGUCUGAUCUUGUUGUCCAACGACCGAGAGUUCCGAGACGAAUGCGUGGCACUCCUCAGGAAACAUAGGUGAGAAUGAGAUGGAUCUCGCACUCAUUUUUAAUUAUCUUUUCCCUAUAGACAUCUACGUAUAAUAUUGGCACUAGGUUAAUACAAUUUCUAUUGUAUUCAUGUUGUAAAGAAUGGCUUCAACAUCACAGGAUGUGCAAUAAUAAGAGAAAAUUUAGCAUCCACUAUACAGAGAAAAUUCCAUAUCAAAUGUACUUAAACACACUAUAUGUUCAAAUUUGAACCUGUUUGUCAAUGUAUUUCUUGUUCUGCUUCUGGUGGUGCUUGAUUGCACCCCUCUUCUUUUGUCGCUGUUUAUCACCCCCUUGAUGUAGUCUUUUCCAAUCACUAUAUUUGUGCAUCAGCCAUCCCUGCUCUUGUGCUUCAUUUUUUCUGGUCUUCUCCUACAAAUCUUUGAAGUUAUAGUAAAAAUCUUGUUCCUGAUGCCUUUGAACAAAUAUGAUUGUUUAACAACGAGUGCAUAAUUUGUAUAGUAAGCCAUGUAUGCUAGGAGCUAGCCAAACUUGGGUCGAUGUUCUAAUAAGGAUAUCUUAUGUAACCAGACUGUUUGCAAUACAUCUUCUAUUUUUGAGAUCUUGUUUAGAUCUUUGGGUCAAGGGCAACUCGGAAGUUAGAACAAAUUCUCAUUUCUAUAAUUGCUCAAACAUAUAACUUCUUUUGCAGGGACAUAUGGCAGAAAGUAGGAAGUCCACAAGUUGAUCUAAGAUGUUCCAGUGAUCGCUUUUGUUCAUUACAUAUGGAAGUUGAUGUCGGCUUGUGAUCGAUGGAUUGGUAUUUUUCAUAUAAGGAAGUUGAUGCUGGCUUGGUGAUUGAAGGAUUGGUCUCUUUCAUAAUUGCUCUCUUAGAAGCUUGCCCCUCAUAUUUUGGAGCAGGUCGCGUCUUGUAUGUAAGACCUAUGUAUUUCCUUAAUAGAUGUAGCUAACUUGAGUGAAGAAAACUAAUGAAUCUUUAAUUUAUGUUGAAUAAAUGUAUUGGUCAAUGGUAUGUUGUGAUGAAUAGAAGAGUAAUUGUUUGUAUAUGUAUUGUGUACUAAACAUGAAUUGAAUUUUAUGAAUGUAAUUUCACUCAAAAUAUGGUGCAUUUGUAUUUGUUCUGAAAUGUAGAACCCAG
rnacentral:lncRNA from 1 species